rnacentral:rRNA from 1 species
GAUCUCCUACGGGAGGCAGCAGUGGGGAAUCUUGCACAAUGGGCGAAAGCCUGAUGCAGCCAUGCCGCGUGAAUGAUGAAGGCCUUAGGGUUGUAAAAUUCUUUCGCCAGGGAUGAUAAUGACAGUACCUGGUAAAGAAGCCCGGCUAACUUCGUGCCAGCAGCCGCGGUAAUACGAAGGGGGCUAGCGUUGUUCGGAAUUACUGGGCGUAAAGCGCACGUAGGCGGACUUUUAAGUCAGAUGUGAAAUCCCGGGGCUCAACCUCGGAACUGCAUUUGAAACUGGAAGUCUAGAGACCAGGAGAGGUUAGCGGAAUACCGAGUGUAGAGGUGAAAUUCGUAGAUAUUCGGAGGAACACCAGUGGCGAAAGCGACA